AACGAACGCUGGCGGCAUGCCUAACACAUGCAAGUCGAACGAGACCUUCGGGUCUAGUGGCGCACGGGUGCGUAACGCGUGGGAAUCUGCCCUUAGGUACGGAAUAACAGUGAGAAAUUACUGCUAAUACCGUAUGAUGUCUUCGGACCAAAGAUUUAUCGCCUAGGGAUGAGCCCGCGUAGGAUUAGCUAGUUGGUGGGGUAAAGG
rnacentral:rRNA from 1 species